rnacentral:rRNA from 1 species
AUGUCAAAUCAUCAUGCCCCUUAUGUCUUGGGCGUCACACGUGCUACAAUGGCCCCUACAGAGUGACGCGAUGCCGCGAGGCGGAGCAAACCACGAAAAGGGGUCCCAGUUCGGAUUGCAGGCUGCAACCCGCCUGCAUGAAGCCGGAAUCGCUAGUAAUCGCGGAUCAGCACGCCGCGGUGAAUACGUUCCCGGGUCUU